UCACUCUCUCGGUAUUCUUCUUCAAAUCGCCUUUUUCAUCAAACUUGUUCACUCGUUCCUCGACGGUUUUCAAUUCGUAUUUAACUUCGAUUCUUUGUCUUCAACUUCUUCAACCCGUUGCGUCAUUUCAAAUCGACGACACGGAUGCGCUCAUAGUUGUCAAUUUCUUCAUCGCCGGUGCUCCUAUGUUUCGAUUUGGAGAAGCCCUAUAUUGAGUUCGCGAUGCCCUAGUUCAAUUAAUCCCAACUCGUCGAAAGUGAUCAACAAUGUCGAAGGACCCUAUCGUUCAACUACCAUGCGUUCCUAGGAAAGUCGUUCACCUCAACGAAUCUUUACAGCAACCUUAUCGUUAGUCGAUUAGGAGGUAUAUUCAAUCUAGUCCUUUCAAAGGAUUAUUCCAUGUGAAACUGAUGCCUAUUCAUGUGGCUCCAAUUAUGCAAUUAUUGAGUUAUUGGGACCCUGAUAGCGAAUGCUUUCAUCUAUCUAAUGGGAAUAGAUGGUAUUUACGAAUCGGGAUAUUGUUGUUGUGUAUGGGCUGCCAUAUGGGAAAAAUAAGGAACCUAUUUCUUUGUAUGAGUCUGAUUCUUGGUACAGUUUUGCCGAUAGAGUUGGAUUAGAUAUGAAACUCAUAGGUGGGGAUAAGAAACAUAUUGUUGAGCCUUUGUUAAAAGAGUUACUGGACAGUGGCAGGCUAAGGAGUGAUGUUAAUUUUUGGUGAAUAUAUGUCAUGUACUGCAUGUGUGUCUUGCUUACGCCCAUAUCCAAUUCGAAGAUUAAUCAUUGUAUAUUCCAGUUCCUUGAGUCCAAUGAGUUGGAAAGUGAGUUCAAUUAGGUUGAUUUUGUGAGGGAUAAGAUUGUGGAAGAUUUGGACGCGAUGUCCAAAAAAUUCAAGAAGAAAACACUGGUCACAGGAAGGCCAUCCGGAGAUAUGCAUUGUUUAAUGAUAAAUUAAAAUAUUGUAAUCUUUUUGCUUACUUUUUUGUUUUAUUGUUCUCUUUGUGUAAUAUUCUAUUUUUCUGUUUUUAGCAUAUAUUUUUUGACAAGUUCCAUAGUGAGAAAUGCGGAGGCAUUCUUUUUCAUGCCAUCUUACACGAAAACUAAUAUUGGAAGAUGUUUCAAAGCUUUUCAACCCUCAAAAUGUUCGAUCCUCAAAGGAGGAUGAUCAUGAAAAAUCAUUACAAUGGUACAAGAAUGAGAUUUCCGGGGCGUGCAAAAUUCUUUACAAUUUAAGACAAGAAUACAACAAGUUUGAGGGUCGUGAGGAUGACAUUUCUGAUGACAGCAAAAUAGCAGAAGAAGAAGAUCAUCAUGAAAAAAUGUUGAGAAAGUGAUUUCAAUCGUAUGAGUUUAUAGUUUUAAUGUUGUUCUGUUAUAAAUCCAUUUCUUUUCUUGUACAAUUGCAAUGCAUACUUUCAAUUCCUUUGGGUUCUUGAAAAUAUGAAGGAUGGUAUGGAUGGCGAGCUGCACACGCUGGAAGCUAUUAUUUUGGUGGUGCUGGAGUUAGCAUUCAGUGGUAUUAAAGUCAGAACAAUGGUGUAUAUAAGCGUUAAUCCUGAUUAUUGUAUAGGAAUUUAUUGAGUGUGAUUUGCCCCUGCGGGGGAUAGUUGUCCAUGAAGAAGAAGGUCUUCAUGAAAAGAAUGUAGA